rnacentral:rRNA from 1 species
CGAACGCUGGCGGCAGGCCUAAUACAUGCAAGUCGAACGGCUCUUCGGAGCAGUGGCGGACGGGUGAGUAACGCGUGGGAAUGUGCCCUUAGGUACGGAACAACACAGGGAAACUUGUGCUAAUACCGUAUGUGCCCUUCGGGGGAAAGAUUUAUCGCCUUUGGAGCAGCCCGCGUUGGAUUAGGUAGUUGGUGAGGUAAAGGCUCAUCAAGCCGACGAUCCAUAGCUGGUCUGAGAGGAUGACCAGCCACACUGGGACUGAGACACGGCCCAGACUCCUACGGGAGGCAGCAGUAGGGAAUCUUGCGCAAUGGGCGAAAGCCUGACGCAGCCAUGCCGCGUGUAUGAUGAAGGUCUUAGGAUUGUAAAAUACUUUCACCGGGGAAGAUAAUGACGGUACCCGGAGAAGAAGCCCCGGCUAACUUCGUGCCAGCCGCCGCCGUAAUAC